rnacentral:rRNA from 1 species
AAUGAACGCUGGCGGCAGGCCUAACACAUGCAAGUCGAACGAGUGGCGGACGGGUGAGUAAUGUCUGGGAAACUGCCCGAUGGAGGGGGAUAACUACUGGAAACGGUAGCUAAUACCGCAUACCAUCGGAUGUGCCCAGGUGGGAUUAGCUAGUAGGGGGGGUAAUGGAUCACCAAGGCGUCGAUACCUAGCUGGUCUGAGAGGAUGAACAGCCACACUGGAACUGAGACACGGUCCAGACUCCUCCGGGAGGCAUCAGUGGGGAAUAUUGCACAAGGGGCGCAAGCCUGCUGCAGCCAUGCCGCGUGUAUGAAGAAGGCUUUCGGGUUGUAAAGUACUUUCAGCGAGGAGGCGUUACUCGCAGAAGAAGCAACGGCUAACUCCGUGCCAGCAGCCGCGGUAAUAC